CAGGCUUAACACAUGCAAGUCGAGGGGCAGCAUGGUCUUAGCUUGCUAAGGCCGAUGGCGACCGGCGCACGGGUGAGUAACACGUAUCCAACCUGCCGUCUACUCUUGGACAGCCUUCUGAAAGGAAGAUUAAUACAAGAUGGCAUCAUGAGUCCGCAUGUUCACAUGAUUAAAGGUAUUCCGGUAGACGAUGGGGAUGCGUUCCAUUAGAUAGUAGGCGGGGUAACGGCCCACCUAGUCUUCGAUGGAUAGGGGUUCUGAGAGGAAGGUCCCCCACAUUGGAACUGAGACACGGUCCAAACUCCUACGGGAGGCAGCAAUGAGGAAUAUUGGUCAAUGGGCGAGAGCCUGAACCAGCCAAGUAGCGUGAAGGAUGACUGCCCUAUGGGUUGUAAACUUCUUUUAUAAAGGAAUAAAGUCGGGUAUGGAUACCCGUUUGCAUGUACUUUAUGAAUAAGGAUCGGCUAACUCCGUGCCAGCAGCCGCGGUAGUACGGAGGAUCCGAGCGUUAUCCGGAUUUAUUGGGUUUAAAGGGAGCGUAGAUGGAUGUUUAAGUCAGUUGUGAAAGUUUGCGGCUCAACCGUAAAAUUGCAGUUGAUACUGGAUAUCUUGAGUGCAGUUGAGGCAGGCGGAAUUCGUGGUGUAGCGGUGAAAUGCUUAGAUAUCACGAAGAACUCCGAUUGCGAAGGCAGCCUGCUAAGCUGCAACUGACAUUGAGGCUCGAAAGUGUGGGUAUCAAACAGGAUUAGAUACCCUGGUAGUCCACACGGUAAACGAUGAAUACUCGCUGUUUGCGAUAUACAGCAAGCGGCCAAGCGAAAGCGUUAAGUAUUCCACCUGGGGAGUACGCCGGCAACGGUGAAACUCAAAGGAAUUGACGGGGGCCCGCACAAGCGGAGGAACAUGUGGUUUAAUUCGAUGAUACGCGAGGAACCUUACCCGGGCUUAAAUUGCAGAUGAAUUACGGUGAAAGCCGUAAGCCGCAAGGCAUCUGUGAAGGUGCUGCAUGGUUGUCGUCAGCUCGUGCCGUGAGGUGUCGGCUUAAGUGCCAUAACGAGCGCAACCCUUGUUGUCAGUUACUAACAGGUCCCGCUGAGGACUCUGACAAGACUGCCAUCGUAAGAUGUGGGGAAGGUGGGGAUGACGUCAAAUCAGCACGGCCCUUACGUCCGGGGCUACACACGUGUUACAAUGGGGGGUACAGAGGGCCGCUACCACGCGAGUGGAUGCCAAUCCCCAAAACCUCUCUCAGUUCGGACUGGAGUCUGCAACCCGACUCCACGAAGCUGGAUUCGCUAGUAAUCGCGCAUCAGCCACGGCGCGGUGAAUACGUUCCCGGGCCUUGUACACACCGCCCGUCAAGCCAUGGGAGCCGGGGGUACCUGAAGUGCGUAACCGCGAGGAGCGCCCUAGGGUAAAACUGGUGACUGGGGCUAAGUCAUAA
rnacentral:rRNA from 1 species